rnacentral:snRNA from 1 species
UAGUGUUACAGCUCUUUUAGAUUUGUCUAGCAGUCUUCGGUACUGAAGACCCC